rnacentral:rRNA from 1 species
CAAAUCAGGUAGGACUACCCGCUGAACUUAAGCAUAUCAAUAAGCGGAGGAAAAGAAACUAACAAGGAUUCCCCUAGUAACUGCGAGUGAAGCGGGAAAAGCUCAAAUUUAAAAUCUGGCGGUCUUCGGCCGUCCGAGUUGUAAUCUGGAGAAGCGUUUUCCGCGCCGGACCGUGUACAAGUCUCUUGGAACAGAGCGUCAUAGAGGGUGAGAAUCCCGUCUUUGACACGGACUACCGGUGCUAUGUGAUGCGCUCUCGAUGAGUCGAGUUGUUUGGGAAUGCAGCUCAAAAUGGGUGGUAAAUUCCAUCUAAAGCUAAAUAUUGGCGAGAGACCGAUAGCGAACAAGUACCGUGAGGGAAAGAUGAAAAGCACUUUGGAAAGAGAGUUAAACAGUACGUGAAAUUGCUGAAAGGGAAACGAUUGAAGUCAGUCGCGUGUGCUAGAACUCAGCCUUGCUUUUGCUUGGUGCAUUUUCUAGUGUACGGGCCAGCAUCAGUUUUGGCCGCCGGAAAAAGGCCUUGGGAAUGUGGCACCUUCGGGUGUGUUAUAGCCCUUGGUUGUAUACGGUGGCUGGGACUGAGGAACAUAGCAUGCCUUUACGGCGGGGCUUCGGCCACCUUCAUGCUUUGGAUGCUGGCGUAAUGGCUUUAAACGACCCGUCUUGAAACACGGACCAAGGAGUCUAACAUGCCUGCGAGUGUUUGGGUGGAAAACCCGAGCGCGUAAUGAAAGUGAAAGUUGGGACCUCUGUCGUGGAAGGCAUCGACGCCCGG